rnacentral:rRNA from 1 species
UACGGAGGGUGCAAGCGUUAAUCGGAAUUACUGGGCGUAAAGGGUGCGUAGGCGGUUGUUUACGUCUGUUGUGAAAUCCCCGGGCUCAACCUGGGAAUGGCAAUGGAUACUGGGCAGCUAGAGUGUGUCAGAGGAUGGUGGAAUUCCCGGUGUAGCGGCGAAAUGCGUAGAGAUCGGGAGGAACAUCAGUGGCGAAGGCGGCCAUCUGGGACAACACUGACGCUGAAGCACGAAAGCGUGGGGAGCAAACAGG